CAGAGGUGUCAAACGUUGUCCGGAAUUAUUGGGCGUAAAGGGCGCGUAGGCGGCCGGGUAAGUGAGAUGUGAAAGCUCUGGGCUCAACCCAGGAAUUGCAUUUCAUACUGCUCGGCUCGAGAUUGGUAGAGGAUGGCGGAAUUCCAGGUGUAGCGGUGAAAUGCGUAGAUAUCUGGAGGAACACCUGUGGCGAAGGCGGCUAUCUGGUCCAAUUCUGACACUGAGGCGCGAAAGGUAGGGGAGCAAACAGGGUUAGAUACCCUGGUAGUCCUACCCGUAAACGAUGAGUACUAGGUGUUGGAGGUAUUGACCCCUUCAGUGCCGUAGUUAACGCAAUAAGUACUCCGCCUGGGAACUACGGUCGCAAGACUG
rnacentral:rRNA from 1 species